rnacentral:rRNA from 1 species
GACGAACGCUGGCGGCGUGCCUAAUACAUGCAAGUCGAGCGAGUCUGCCUUGAAGAUCGGAGUGCUUGCACUCUGUGAAACAAGAUACAGGCUAGCGGCGGACGGGUGAGUAACACGUGGGUAACCUGCCCAAGAGAUCGGGAUAACACCUGGAAACAGAUGCUAAUACCGGAUAACAACAGAUGAUGCCUAUCAACUGUUUAAAAGAUGGUUCUGCUAUCACUCUUGGAUGGACCUGCGGUGCAUUAGCUAGUUGGUAGGGUAACGGCCUACCAAGGCGAUGAUGCAUAGCCGAGUUGAGAGACGGAUCGGCCACAUUGGGACUGAGACACGGCCCAAACUCCUACGGGAGGCAGCAGUAGGGAAUCUUCCACAAUGGACGCAAGUCUGAUGGAGCAACGCCGCGUGAGUGAAGAAGGGUUUCGGCUCGUAAAGCUCUGUUGUUGGUGAAGAAGGACAGGGGUAGUAACUGACCUUUGUUUGACGGUAAUCAAUUAGAAAGUCACGGCUAACUACGUG